UACAGAGGUGGCAAGCGUUGUUCGGAUUUACUGGGCGUAAAGGGCGCGUAGGCGGCCACCGCAAGUCGACUGUGAAAUCUCCGGGCUUAACCCGGAAAGGUCAGCCGAUACUGCGGGGCUAGAGUGCAGAAGGGGCAACUGGAAUUCUCGGUGUAGCGGUGAAAUGCGUAGAUAUCGAGAGGAACACCUGCGGCGAAGGCGGGUUGCUGGGCUGACACUGACGCUGAGGCGCGAAAGCUAGGGGAGCGAACGGG
rnacentral:rRNA from 1 species